rnacentral:rRNA from 1 species
GCUAUACGGUCAGUGGUGGAUGACUUGGUUGGCUAGCUGAAGAAGGGCGUGACAAGCAGCGAUAUGCC